GACGAACGCUGGCGGCGUGCUUAACACAUGCCAGUCGAACGGAAAGGCCCUGCUUGCAGGGUACUCGAGUUGCCAACGGGUGAGUAACACGUGGGUGAUCUGCCCUGCACUUCGGGUUAAGUCUGGGAAACUGGGUCUAAUUCCUGACAGGAGCCAUUUUUAGCGGGAUGGUUGGAAAGUUUUUUCGGUGUAGGAUGAGCUCGCGGCCUAUCAGCUUGUUGGUGUGGUAAUGGCCUACCAAGGCGGCGACGGGUAGCCGGCCUGAGAGGGUGGACGGCCACAUUGGGACUGAGGGACGGCCCAGACUCCGACGGGAGGCAGCAGUGGGGAAUAUUGCACAAUGGGCGCAAGCCUGAUGCAGCGAGGCCGCGGGGGGGAUGACGGCCUUCGGGUUGUAAACUACUUUCGCUAGGGACGAAGCUUUUUGUGACGGUACCUAGAUAAGAAGCACCGGCUAACUACGUG
rnacentral:rRNA from 1 species